rnacentral:rRNA from 1 species
UACAGAGGUCUCAAGCGUUGUUCGGAUUCAUUGGGCGUAAAGGGUGCGUAGGCGGCGCGGUAAGUCGGAUGUGAAAUCUCGGAGCUUAACUCCGAAACUGCAUUCGAUACUGCCGUGCUUGAGGACUGGAGAGGAGACUGGAAUUUACGGUGUAGCGGUGAAAUGCGUAGAGAUCGGGGGGAACACCCGUGGCGAAGGCGGCCGGCUGGGCCGUUCCUGACGCUGAGGCGCGAAGGCGUGGGGAGCGAACGGG